CAAGUCGAACGGAAAGGCCUUUUCGGAGGUACUCGAGUGGCGAACGGGUGAGUAACACGUGGGUGAUCUGCCCUGCACUCUGGGAUAAGCCUGGGAAACUGGGUCUAAUACCGGAUAGGACCGCACUUUAGUGUGUGUGGUGGAAAGUUUUUUCGGUGUAGGAUGAGCCCGCGGCCUAUCAGCUUGUUGGUGGGGUAAUGGCCUACCAAGGCGGCGACGGGUAGCCGGACUGAGAGGUUGGUCGGCCACAUUGGGACUGAGAUACGGCCCAGACUCCUACGGGAGGCAGCAGUGGGGAAUAUUGCACAAUGGGCGCAAGCCUGAUGCAGCGACGCCGCGUGGGGGAUGACGGCCUUCGGGUUGUAAACUCCUUUCGCCAGGGACGAAGCGUUUUGUGACGGUACCUGGAGAAGAAGCACCGGCUAACUACGUGCCAGCAGCCGCGGUAAUACGUAGGGUGCAAGCGUUGUCCGGAAUUACUGGGCGUAAAGGGCUCGUAGGUGGUUUGUCGCGUCGUCUGUGAAAUUCUGGGGCUUAACUCCGGGCGUGCAGGCGAUACGGGCAUAACUUGAGUGCUGUAGGGGUAACUGGAAUUCCUGGUGUAGCGGUGAAAUGCGCAGAUAUCAGGAGGAACACCGAUGGCGAAGGCAGGUUAC
rnacentral:rRNA from 1 species